CCUACGGGAGGCAGCAGUGGGGAAUAUUGGACAAUGGGCGAAAGCCUGAUCCAGCCAUGCCGCGUGUGAAGAAGGCCUUCGGGUUGUAAAGCACUUUCAGUGGGGAAGAAAGCCUUGGGGCUAAUACCCUCGAGGAAGGACAUCACCCACAGAAGAAGCACCGGCUAACUCCGUGCCAGCAGCCGCGGUAAUACGGAGGGUGCGAGCGUUAAUCGGAAUUACUGGGCGUAAAGCGCGCGUAGGCGGUCUGAUAAGCCGGUUGUGAAAGCCCCGGGCUCAACCUGGGAACGGCAUCCGGAACUGUCAGGCUAGAGUGCAGGAGAGGAAGGUAGAAUUCCCGGUGUAGCGGUGAAAUGCGUAGAGAUCGGGAGGAAUACCAGUGGCGAAGGCGGCCUUCUGGACUGACACUGACGCUGAGGUGCGAAAGCGUGGGUAGCAAACAGGAUUAGAUACCCUAGUAGUC
rnacentral:rRNA from 1 species